rnacentral:rRNA from 1 species
ACGGGAGGCAGCAGUGGGGAAUAUUGCGCAAUGGGGGAAACCCUGAUGCAGCGACGCCGCGUGAGUGAAGAAGUAUUUCGGUAUGUAAAGCUCUAUCAGCAGGAAAGAAAAUGACGGUACCUGACUAAGAAGCCCCGGCUAACUACGUGCCAGCAGCCGCAGUAAUACGUAGGUGGCAAGCGUUAUCCGGAAUUACUGGGUGUAAAGGGUGUGUAGGCGGGACUGCAAGUCAGAUGUGAAAAUUAUGGGCUCAACCCAUAACCUGCGUCUGAAACUGUGGUUCUUGAGAGUGGGAGAGGUAGAUGGAAUUCCUGGUGUAGCGGUGAAAUGCGUAGAUAUCAGGAGGAACACCGGUGGCGAAGGCGAUCUACUGGACCACAACUGACGCUGAGACACGAAAGCGUGGGGAGCAAACAGGAUUAGAUACCCUGGUA